rnacentral:ncRNA from 2 species
GGCUGUUCUCAUGGCGGGGCGAAAGUCCCCACCGGCGGUAAGAGUCUGGGCUCAACCCCGCGAACGCCUUUUGGCUGGUGCCGAAAGGGUCAGCAGAUCCGGUGCAAUCCGGAGCCGACGGUUACAGUCCGGAUGAAAGAGAAUGAGC